AACGCUUGCCAAGCAGCCGCGGGAGGUCGGGGAGAAAACCGGCCCUCGAGGAAAGUCCGGACACCGCAGGGCAGGGUGGUCGGUGACGCCGACCCGGGGAAACCCGCGGGAAAGUGCCACAGAAAGGAAACCGCCCAAGCGGCGGGGUCGGCGGCGCCGUCAGGCGCUGCGACCGGUCUGGCGGACGCGCGCGCCCGUCAGGCCACCGCCGCCGGCAAGGGUGAAAAGGUGCGGUAAGAGCGCACCGGCGGCGCGGUGACGCGCCGGCCAGGCAAACCCCACCCGGUGCAAGGCCAAGCAGGGGCGAAGACGCUGCCCGCCGAGCCCCAGGUAGGCCGCAGGGCCGCUCAGCGGCCCGCUGCGCGCCCGGCGCGCGGCAGAUGGAUGGCUGCUCACGACAGGAUCCGGCUUACCGGCGAGCUAAG
rnacentral:RNase_P_RNA from 1 species